rnacentral:lncRNA from 1 species
CCAGCCAGCUCCGGGUCCCUGCGCGGAGGACGCUGAUUCGUGUCGUUAAGCGGGUGAAGCGGGUGUAGACAGAGAGCCCAGGACAGCACCUGGCCCGUAGUAGGUGCCGCAAGAAACGCUUCUUGAAGGAAGGAAGGAACGAACCCACGAGUAUUGCAGGAGGAUUAAAUGAAAGAUCAAUUCAUCCCACCUCACGGUAAUAGGCACCCUGUUUCCUCCCAGCCCCGAGAUUGGAGAGUUUGUUUUCAUCCUCCUGUUGUCUGAACACAGCACAGAGCAAUCCUGAGACACAAAGCAACGUGCCUUUCAAAAUUUUUAAUAAACAUGGAAUCUUGCUAUGCUGGCCAGGCUGGUCUUGAACUGCUAGCCUCAAGCGAUCCUCCCUCCUUGGCCUCUCAAAAUGUUGGGAUUAUAGGCGUGAACCACUGUAACCAGCCUCAAGACAGGCUUUCUAAGACACAAGAUUCCGCGUGUCAACUGUAUCCACGGAAACCAUUCCUUAGUUUAUUGUCACCGCCAUUCCUAACUCUGAUGUGAAAAUCCCUGCGUUCAUCAACAUAACCCAGUUAGGGUCGCACUCAUCACGGGGCCCCCAUUGCCUCUGGCGCACCCCACGACUGACAUCUGCGGGGCCUUCGCGCUAGGCUUCGAGUUUCAGCUUCCGCACCAGGCCUGCCUUUCUGCAGGGGCCAGGGUGGGGGUCGUGUGCUGAUUGGGCCCUCUGAACCGCCACCGCUGCAGAGGGGCUGUUCCUUCCGUCACAUCCCUUGUGCCCGAAUCCACCCUGUGUCUUCUCUUUUCUCAGCAGGACAUUUUAAAAGCCCAGACCCCCUCCUUACAGAGCAAAUGUCCAGGCUUCGGAGGUCACUGUCACAUCCCAAGAACCCCCUUCACCAGGUGCCACUCUUGAGACUGGACUGAAGCCCCCUGGAGAGGACCCCUCCCCUCCCAUGGCUUUGAGCCCAUGAGAUGGCCUUGGACAAAGCGGCAAUGGGCCCUUCCUGAGACACAGUGCGGCCAUCUACUGGGAAACUGCCCAGUGUGACUCUGAUGACUGUGAUGUGAAUCCCACAGCAAAGUUGAGCAGUGCGCAACCUGGGCUACUGCACCUGGCAGCCCUGGCUCCUCCUCCUCUGCCUCUUCCUGCUCCUUCAUUCUCCCCCAGAGCUCUAAUUGUCACUGAGAUUUUAUGUUUCGUUUAACAAAUGACUGUCUCCCCGCUUGAACAGAACCUCCAUGGGGGGAGGGAAGAGUGUCUGUUGUAUAAAUAGUUGUAUUUCAGUGCAUAAAACAGUGCCUGCCUCAAAGGGAGGA